rnacentral:rRNA from 1 species
AUGCAGUCGUACGAGAGUUUUUAACUCUAGUGGCGGACGGGUGAGUAACACGUGAGAAUUUACCUUUAGGAGGGGGAUAACAGCGUAUCAAUAGAUAUUACGGAAACGGCUGCUAAUACCCCAUAUGCUUUUGAGUGAAAUAGAUUUUUCUGCCUAAAGAGAAGCUCGCGGCUGAUUAGCUUGUUGGUAAGGUAAUGGCUUACCAAGGCGACGAUCAGUAUCUGGUUUGAGAGGACGAUCAGACACACUGGAACUGAGACACGGUCCAGACUCCUACGGGAGGCAGCAGUGGGGAAUUUUCCGCAAUGGGCGAAAGCCUGACGGAGCAAUACCGCGUGAGGGAAGACGGCCUAUGGGUUGUAAACCUCUUUUUUCAGGGAGGAAUUCAAUGACGUGUACCUGAGGAAUAAGCAUCGGCUAACUCCGUGCCAGCAGCCGCGGUAAUACG